AAAGUAUAUAUCUUUAAAAUAUGAAUAAAUACGUACAAUUCCAUAGUUAUUUGAUCCAGCGGUUAUAGAAGUUUGGUAAUAAUGCAAUUCUGGCAUUGUGCUUUCUUAAUUUUUUUCACUUAGUUCCACGACUGCAGUGGAUUUUAUAGUCAAUGUUAAAAUCCAACACAGAGUCUGAAGCGAUGGAGGAAAUUUACGUCAAUAUGGAACCUGUUGGACAAACUGCAUCUAAUCACACAGGUAAGAAUGAAGUUACAGAGAAAUCUAGUAUGUAUGUUAUUCAAUUUUUUCUAAUGUUAAGGUUUUUGUUAAGGUUGGAGCAGCUCCAAAGAGAGACUCGGCCUCGGUGUGGUCGUAUGCUUGGGAAUCCUGAAUGUUUUAAUUCUGGCUGAACUCAUAGGCCUCAGUGUACACACUCAUAACAUGACAGCAGAUUUUUCUGACAUCGGCAACAUGCUGACUGAACAGAACAGCAAGUUUCUCUCCAUGAACGCUAACUUCACUGAAACGGCGCCACGAGCUGAAGAGACUUUAAG